AGCGAACGCUGGCGGCAGGCUUAACACAUGCAAGUCGAACGCCCCGCAAGGGGAGUGGCAGACGGGUGAGUAACACGUGGGAACGUACCCUUUGGUUCGGAAUAACUUGGGGAAACUCAAGCUAAUACCGGAUAAGCCCUUAUGGGGAAAGGUUUACUGCCGAAGGAUCGGCCCGCGUCUGAUUAGCUAGUUGGUGAGGUAACGGCUCACCACGGCGACGUUCAGUAGCUGGUCUGAGAGGAUGAUCAGCGACACUGGUACUGAGACACGGCCCAGACGCCUACGGUGGGCAGCAGUGGGGAAUAUUGGGCAAUGGGGGCAACCGUGAUACAGCCAUGCCGCGUGAGUGAUAAAGGCCUUAGGGUUGUAAAGCUCUUUUACCCGGUGCGAUAAUGACUGUACCGGGAGAAUAAGCCCCGGCUAACUUCGUGCCAGCCGCCGCGGUAA
rnacentral:rRNA from 1 species